CCAGUAACCUUUUUUAUUUUCAGUGUUUCAUGGCUGUUCAUACAGUUUCCCCAAACCUCGAAAUUUCCCCUUACUGUGUUGUUUCCCCUCCAUUUUCCCUCGGAUUUUCCCGCAAUUUCCCUCGCGCGACUCGAAGGCCCUUCCACGUACGCAGGGCCUUCCGAGAAUGGCGAGAGUACGAGGAGGCCGUAAAGCGGAAGGACCUCGCUGGAGCUCUCAGGUUCCUUAAGUCCCUCGAAACGGAGCGCACGGUCGAGUCGUUCGUCGACGGCGCUUCUCCGGUGGCCGAGUCGACUCGGCUCCGUUUCCUGGAGUUGGAGCGGUUCAGACCGCAGAGGAAUUGGGAGGUUCUGGACACGUGCUUGAAUGCUGACGACAUGAAGCUGGUCUCUAACGCUUACAAGUUCCUCAGAGAUAGAGGUUUCUUGCCUAAUUUUGGUAAAUGCAGGAAUAUUGUUUUGGAGGGACCAAGGAAUGUAACACCUGAUGUCUUGAGCUCCUCAACUGGUUUGGAAGUAACUAAACUUGCUCCAAAGAAGUGGGGUCUGUCAGAUGGUUCAAGCACUGUUUUGGUUGCUUUUCUUUGCGGGGCAUCCUUUCUACUAUCACAAGGAAUUGACAUCAGGCCCAACCUUGCAGCGAUAUUAGGUCUAGCCAUUGCAGAUGCUAUAUUUCUGGGUGGUACCUGUUUAGCUCAAAUCUCAAGUUACUGGCCACCAUAUAGGCGUCGAAUCCUUGUUCAUGAAGCAGGACAUCUUCUAACAGCUUAUUUGAUGGGUUGCCCAAUUCGGGGGGUGAUUUUAGACCCAAUAGUUGCAAUGCAAAUGGGCAUUCAAGGACAGGCAGGGACUCAGUUUUGGGACGAGAAAGUUGCCAAUGACCUUGCCCAAGGCCGACUUGAUGGUACAGCUUUUGACAGGUACUGCAUGGUUCUUUUUGCUGGAAUUGCAGCUGAAGCUCUUGUUUAUGGUGAGGCAGAGGGUGGAGAAAAUGAUGAAAACCUAUUUAGAAGCAUCUGUCUUCUUCUUGAGCCCCCAUUGUCUAUAGCUGAGAUGUCCAAUCAGGCAAGAUGGUCAGUUUUACAAUCUUAUAAUUUGCUCAAGUGGCAUAAAGAUGCACACCGAGCUGCUGUUAAAGCAUUGGAAAGCCGUGGCAGUCUGAGUGUUGUAAUUAGGAGGAUCGAGGAGACUUUGUAUUCCAAAGAAUGAGCCUCACAAGUUUUUAGUAAAAGCAGCAUUUUCAUUUUUCAAGUUGUUUACAGGGUUCUGGCUACGGAUCUGAAAGGGAAGCUGAUUUUUACUGAUCUUUAUGUACUAUAUAACAGAUGUGUCACAUCUCUUACGCCAUGUCUACCAUAAUAGACGCAACCAAAUGAAUAGUUUCUUCAUCAACAACUUUUCUGUUCACCGAGGCUGGUCCCCACUUGCACUGGACAUGGUUAAUAAAUAAUGCCAUUAGAGAGUGUGUCAUCGUGAAAUGGCAGUUAGCUUAUCUUCAGAGUAAUUCUGAGCCGUC